AACGAACGCUGGCGGCAUGCCUAACACAUGCAAGUCGAACGAGACCUUCGGGUCUUGUGGCGCACGGGUGCGUAACGCGUGGGAACCUGCCCUUAGGUUCGGAAUAACUCCCCGAAAGGGGUGCUAAUACCGGAUAAUGUCUUCGGACCAAAGAUUUAUCGCGUUUGGAUGGGCCCGCGUUGGAUUAGCUAGUUGGUAGGGUAAAAGCAUACCAAGGCGACGAUCCAUAGCUGGUCUGAGAGGAUGAUCAGCCACACUGGGACUGAGACACGGCCCAGACUCCUACGGGAGGCAGCAGUGGGGAAUAUUGGAAAAUGGGCGAAAGCCUGAUCCAGCAAUGCCGCGUGAGUGAUGAAGGCCUUAGGGUUGUAAAGCGCUUUUACCCGGGAUGAUAAUGACAGUACCGGGAGAAUAAGCUCCGGCUAACUCCGUG
rnacentral:rRNA from 1 species